rnacentral:rRNA from 1 species
AUACGGAGGUAGCAAGCGUUAUUCGGAAUCACUGGGCGUAAAGGACGCGUAGGCGGGGUUGUAAGUCAGGUGUGAAAUCCUACAGCUCAACUGUAGAACUGCACUUGAAACUACAGACCUAGAGUAUGGAAGGGGCAGAUGGAAUUAGUGGUGUAGGGGUAAAAUCCGUAGAUAUCACUAGGAAUACCGAAAGCGAAGGCGAUCUGCUGGGACAUUACUGACGCUGAGGCGUGAAAGCGUGGGGAGCAAACAGGAUUAGAAACCCUAGUAGUCC